rnacentral:rRNA from 1 species
CCUGCGGAGGGAUCAUUACUGAGUUUACGCUCUACAACCCUUUGUGAACAUACCUAUAACUGUUGCUUCGGCGGGUAGGGUCUCCGUGACCCUCCCGGCCUCCCGCCCCCGGGCGGGUCGGCGCCCGCCGGAGGAUAACCAAACCCUGAUUUAACGACGUUUCUUCUGAGUGGUACAAGCAAAUAAUCAAAACUUUUAACAACGGAUCUCUUGGUUCUGGCAUCGAUGAAGAACGCAGCGAAAUGCGAUAAGUAAUGUGAAUUGCAGAAUUCAGUGAAUCAUCGAAUCUUUGAACGCACAUUGCGCCCGCCAGCAUUCUGGCGGGCAUGCCUGUUCGAGCGUCAUUUCAACCCUCAAGCUCUGCUUGGUGUUGGGGCCCUACAGCUGAUGUAGGCCCUCAAAGGUAGUGGCGGACCCUCCCGGAGCCUCCUUUGCGUAGUAACUUUACGUCUCGCACUGGGAUCCGGAGGGACUCUUGCCGUAAAACCCCCAAUUCUCCAAAGGUUGACCUCGGAUCAGGUAGGAAUACCCGCUGAACUUAAGCAUAUCAAA